UUGGGAGUUGGGGAGGUGGCUGCUCGGUGCCUCUAGGUGUGGGGUGUCCUGCAGCCCCAAAUACUAGGAGGCCUUCAGGUUCUGUCUCGGCUACAGAGCUGCCUCAGCUGCCAUCCUGGGUACCACCUCCCACCUCCAGGUGAGAUGGGGAUACAGGCAUUGCCAGUGGGUCCCGUGGGGCAGCUCUGCAGUAUCCGCCCUCCACACAUGAUCAUGCCCACCAGGUCCCUCCACUUGGACCCCAUCACAGCAUCCACUCUGGGAAAGCUGGUUGCGAUGGGGAAGAGAGGAUUCUGAAGGCUCAACGCUCAGUGUUCAAGGGCUUCUGGGAGGGACUGGAAUGCAGGGCCCACUGACAAAAAGAGGUUGCUCAGGAAGGGAAACAUCGGGGCCAUUUGACACAAAGGCACCCCAGCCGCCGAGAUGAGAAGGCUUCUUUGGCCACGAUUCACCUCAGGUGAUCUAUUUUCCCCAGCUGUACAACCCCUGACAAGAUGAAGUGCAUUCCUGACAUCCAGAAUCUCCCAAUAAAGAUUUCAUUGUCUGGUUCCCCUGUGGGAAGUGAGACGUGAACUUGAUAUUUCUCUGUUCAACCUUCAU
rnacentral:lncRNA from 1 species